GAGUUUGAUCAUCGCUCAGGACGAACGCUGGCGGCGUGCCUAAUACAUGCAAGUCGAACGAGGCUUUUUGAUUGAUGCUUGCAUCAGCUAAAAAGCCGAGUGGCGAAUGGGUGAGUAACACGUGGGUAACCUGCCUUGAAGCGGGGGAUAACAUUUGGAAACAGAUGCUAAUACCGCAUAACCACAAAAACCUCCUGGUUUUUGUGUCAAAGAUGGUUCUGCUAUCACUUCAAGAUGAACCCGCGGCGUAUUAGCAUGUUGGUGAGGUAACGGCUCACCAAGGCAAUGAUACGUAGCCGAACUGAGAGGUUGAUCGGCCACAUUGGGACUGAGACACGGCCCAAACUCCUACGGGAGGCAGCAGUAGGGAAUCUUCCACAAUGGACGCAAGUCUGAUGGAGCAACGCCGCGUGAGUGAAGAAGGUCUUCGGAUCGUAAAACUCUGUUGUCAGAGAAGAACGUGCGUGAGAGCAACUGUUCAUGCAGUGACGGUAUCUGACCAGAAAGUCACGGCUAACUACGUGCCAGCAGCCGCGGUAAUACGUAGGUGGCAAGCGUUGUCCGGAUUUAUUGGGCGUAAAGGGAACGCAGGCGGUCUUUUAAGUCUGAUGUGAAAGCCUUCGGCUUAACCGAAGUCGUGCAUUGGA
rnacentral:rRNA from 1 species